rnacentral:lncRNA from 1 species
GCUGCUUGUGCAGUCCGUGCUGCGCUGCUGCCACCCUGUGAGCAGUUCCCGAGUUCCUGUGCCCCGGAGGAACUAAAAAAAGCUGUGUUUGUUUUAGGUGCGACCGUCGGUGCACUUUGCACCGCGCUCGCUGUUGUGCAGACGCUCACAAGAGCUUUUUCUCUGGCGAGGACUUUAGACCGAGAAAGGCAAACAUCCCAACAGGACGUGGGGGUGUGGGGUGCUGUGUGGGGUGGCCGGGGUGCCCCACAGAGGGUUCUGUCCCUGCACCUCCGGGUGUGUGAGGCAGUGCUGGCAUCAUCUCUGUGACAUUCCAACAGAAACUGGGGUUACCUGCCGUGCCACAGCCUUGCACUGGCAACCUGCGGGUCAGGAAUGGGCUUCAGAGGUCACAGCAGGGAAACACAGGGGUGAGUCUGGGACAUUUCCUGCCUCUGCACUGACUCACCCCACAGCUUUGGCUGCUGAUCUCCCCGGGCUGGAUUUUUGGUGAUAAAGAGCUAAACUGAUGUACCCCAAAGAGCCGAAUAAAUCAUCAGGAGUGCUUUCCCUUGGAGGAGUUUUCCACUUUGUUUUGUAUGUACAAAGCCAGCACUGAUAGUAUCCUUGAGCCGUCCCCUGUGCAGCCCAGGGGAUGCAGCAGUGCCUGACGUGUCCCUCACUGCAGACAUCCUUUGGGACAUCCUGCUCUGCCACUCUCCCUGCGGCUGUCCCCACUUCAGCCCCAGCCUGACACAGCCACGGGGACCAGCAGGGCACGAGUGGCUCCACUCCAUCCAACUGGGACACUGGAGCUGUGACAGGGCCUCAUAUCCAGGUAAGAAGGUUUCCCUGGAGUUUUAUCACUGCUAGUGAUUGAUCUCCCAGCAUUUUCCUGCUCUUGGACAACAGCCCUCAUUCACCAGCUGCUCCUAAUUUUGAAGGGCUACAUAAAUCUCUGCUCAACUCUUAUAAAUAACCAUCUGCACAGCACCACCGUAGCCCUGGGUCUCCCAUUCCCAAAUCCUGCCCAAGCCAGGGCUUCACUGAUGGGAUGCAGCAGCUCCAGGAGGAAGCAGCAGGUUAUUUACUGUCAUUCCUGUGAGCACAGUGCCUUUAUUUACAGUGUUUUCCAGCUG